CUACGGCUCCGCUUCAGGAUGGGCCCGCGUCCCAUUAGCUAGUUGGUGAGGUAAAGGCCCACCAAGGCAACGAUGGGUAUCCGGCCUGAGAGGGUGAACGGACACAUUGGGACUGAGAUACGGCCCAAACUCCUACGGGAGGCAGCAGCUAAGAAUCUUCCGCAAUGGACGAAAGUCUGACGGAGCGACGCCGUGUGAAUGAAGAAGGCCGAAAGGUUGUAAAAUUCUUUUGCAGAUGAAGAAUAAGAAGAAGAGGGAAUGCUUCUUUGAAG
rnacentral:rRNA from 1 species